CCGUCGCCUCGUGGUGAUUUGAGCCGACCGGCUUGCGGCCACUUUAAAGAAAUCGCUAAAAGGUCGGUGUCUCCGCCGG
rnacentral:ncRNA from 2 species